rnacentral:rRNA from 1 species
ACUCCUACGGGAGGCAGCAGUGGGAAUAUUGCACAAUGGGCGCAAGCCUGAUGCAGCAAUGCCGCGUGUGUGAAGAAGGCCUGCGGGUUGUAAAGCACUUUUAUCGGGAAAGAAAACCCAAGAUUAAUACUCUUGGCAUUGACGGUACCCGAGGAAUAAGCACCGGCUAACUCCGUGCCAGCAGCCGCGGUAAUACGGAGGGUGCGAGCGUUAUCCGGAUUUAUUGGGUUUAAAGGGUCCGUAGGCGGGUUAAUAAGUCAGUGGUGAAAUCCCAUCGCUUAACGAUGGAACUGCCAUUGAUACUGUUAGUCUUGAAUGAGGGUGCAGUGGUUGGAAUGUGUAGUGUAGCGGUGAAAUGCAUAGAUAUUACACAGAACACCGAUUGCGAAGGCAGAUCACUAACCCUAAAUUGACGCUGAGGGACGAAAGCGUGGGGGAGCGAACAGGAUUAGAUACCCUGGUAGGCUCUGCU